rnacentral:sRNA from 1 species
GUCAGGCCUUGCACAGAGAUAGCAAAAUGCGUGUCCCCGCGCCGAAGCCUGUUUUCGGGCAGCUUCCAUCAACUUCGCUGCGAUACCGCGCCGUCGCAUGUCCGGCUCAACCCAAAGAGCGGCAAUCCACGGCGUGUAUUGUGGCCGAUCAUCAAGGUCAUUUUCGAUCAACAAGACUGAUCCAAGAUACUCGCCUUGCUCAUGGCAACAAGAGCGAGCGGGAUUCCAUCGCCGUUAAUCAUUCGAUCGAGGUGAGCCCGAUAUUCGGCCAAAGACACGCCGCUUUCAGUCACUACGCGUUCCAAGCACGGACAGCGCGUUUGCCGACAUUUCCGGAAAGGGAAAGGCGGUUCCAAGCGACACGAGGUCGAGGAAUUCCGAUACCAUCGACACGUCGCCGUCGACAUACUCGACCAUCGAUCGGAAUCAGUCCGCCACGUGCUUCAGCGUUAUAACUCGGGCAAUGGGCGAGCGGGUCGCCAGCCACGGCUGUGGGCGCCUGCCGUGGCGGCGCCGGCUUCA